AUGAACGGGCCAAAACGGACAUGGCAGCAGGUCAAAAUCAAAUACAAGAACAUUCUGCAGAAUGCAGUGAAAAAGAAUACCCACAGACAAGGCACGGGUGGUGGGUCACCAAAGGCUGACCUUACCCCAGCAGAGGACAUGGCCUUGGAGCUAAAUAAAGGCAGGCCCGUCUUAGAGGGGAUCCCUGGGGGGAAAGAGACGAGCAUAGGUUCCUCCCAAGAUGCCACCCGCUUCAUUCAAGUGUCUGGCAGCACUGUGUUCCUGUUAGAGCCACCAGCACAAGCACCAGACGAUGCUGAUCCAGGUGAAGGCCCCAGUGCAGCAGCAACAGCACAUGAUGGAGACGAUGAUGAGGAGGAGACCAUCUCUCUGGAUUCCAGAAGGCAUGAGGACCCAGAUGCUAUACAGUGGGAAAACCAGCCUGGCAACAUAAGCUCACAAGCUAUCAGAAAGUUGUAUGGCAACCACCUCCGGUGCCAAAUAGAACUGGCAGACAUAGACAUUCAGUACAAGAAGAAAAAGAUGGAAAAUCUUGCACUGGAGUUCGAAAUAAAAAAGAGGACAAUUAGGAAACUGGACCUUGAAAUAAAAAAACUUGAGAGGGAGGUGAGAUAUGCCUUCAAUGUACACUGUAUGCUAACUGUAACACAAAUGUAUUAA
rnacentral:lncRNA from 13 species